CAACCAGGUCUAGAACCCAAACCUUCAACCCCUGAGCUUUCCUGCCUUCGAGUCCUCGGAGCUCUCCUGGAGGCUGAGCAGGCAACAGAGCCUGCUCCUCAGCUGGAUGUGGCCCGUGGGAGGUGGAGAAACUGAGGCUCAGAUAAAUGACUAAGAAGUAAAGUGAGGUCCCAUAGCCAGUGAAUGGCAGAGCAGGGAUUCGAACCCAGCUCAGGUCUCUCAUCUGGGAAGUGGGAUGAUAGCGCCAACCUAGCUGGAUUGCUGUGACUGCCAGCACAAUGCCUUCUAAGGGUUCAAGGUCUCUCAUCUGGGAAGUGGGAUGAUAGCGCCAACCUAGCUGGAUUGCUGUGACUGCCAGCACAAUGCCUUCUAAGGGUUCAAGAUGAGAUUACUUAGUCCCAGAUGGGUUAAGUAACUGGCCCAAGGUCACAGCGCUGGUAAGCAACUGGGCUUCAAUCCAACCAUCCUGACUCCAGAAGCCUCUUUGAACUACCACCUUCUGCACCUGCCCCAGGGCUUCUUCGCCUGAGCCGGUGCCUUGCUGCCGCCCUGCUCAUCUCUUCUGGGAAGAUGCCUCUCAUCUUGCCAGUCCUCAAGCCAGAAGCCUCCGGUGCUGCCCUAGGGCUCCCUGAAUAGGCAUCCCUAAGGCAUCCCUCCUGGUGUUCAAACCACAUCCUUCCUGGCUAAGCUUCCAUUCCCCAGGGUAGCCCUCCACACUUUGGAGCCUCAGCUCACCUCUCACUCUCACACUUCAGUUUCACACUUCCCUUCUGAAUGGUCCCACCUCUGUGCUUUUGCUUAAGCUGUGCACACUUCCCAGAGUGCUCUUUCCCCUAUGUCUGCCUGUGCUCCAAUACCCUAUGCCUGAGCUGACCCAUGACAUACAAGCACCUACAGAGGCCUGGGGGAAGGAGGCAGUGGUAUGUGUGUCAGUGUGGGGAGUCAGUGAAGAGGUUUGGGGCUUUAGGGUCAGUUAUGUGACUUCAGGGCAAGUCCCCAUCUCCCUGAACCCCAGUUUCUGCAAAAUGAAGAUAUCCAUCCCAGCUUCUCCCAAGGUUUAUAAUGGUAAUCUGUGAGGUUCUGGCACAUGAUGAAUCCAUAACUACCCGUUGUGACAAGUUCCCCACUUGUGAAGUCAAAUGAAGACCCCCUGGUGUUGACAGUGCAGGAAAACCUGUGCCCGAGCACCUUGUCCCUAGGGAGAACCCUACCUUCAGUGCCUCUCUGAACAACAGGGCCAGGAAGGGGUCACUGUAUAGCAGUUGGUCCCUAGUGACCAGUCCUGGCAGAGGGCCUUUAUCCCACUUCCAGUAGCCCAGCACCAACCAUCCCCAGCUCUGGGAGGGGGUGGGCAGCACCCUCCUUCCUCCACAUUGUUGCCACCUCAGAGAGUCAGAAUCCAGGGAGACAGUCUCCUGGCAGCGGAGCUCCUGCUGCCCGCCAUGGGUGUCUGUGAUGCUGCCGUGCCCACUGGGGGCUGCAGGCACUCCAGCAUCAGGAUGGACUAAAUCUCGGGAGUGGGAAGGGGACUCCAGCCAGGGGCACUGGAGACAGGGCCAGCCUGAGUGCCUGCUUCUCCCAGGGGCAGGUGCCAGCAUGGUGCACCCCUCAAGGAGUGUGGCAGGUAAGAUUGAGGUCCUGGCUGCCCCAGGCUCCUGUGCCAUCGAGAGGGAAAGCACCUGGAACAGGUAUACAGUAGAUGCUUAGUGAUGAGGAGAAUCUUCACUUGGUGGAAUUCUGAACACUUUGGGUACCACCAGAGUCAGAAUUCCCAGAGGAGGAGGCAGGCAUUUGAUAACGGAUGUCUGGAGGAUAUAGCAUGUUCAACCUUCCCCUCUCCAUGAGAGGAAGUGGUGACCUCAACCCCAGCACCCUCCUCUGCCCAUUCACACCCACCCACUCCCACCUCUCUGCCAGCCUCAGUUGGAUGUGGAGCAGAAUGUAAUGAGGACUUACCUGUCCACAAGGACUUCACAACUGUUCCAAGGCGAUGGAUGGGCAGGUGCUAACGCAGCCCCUCAGUGUCCCCCUUCCCUUGCUUUUGGGGUGGGCUUGGGGCCCCCGGGGGGUCCUAACUCACUGAAGAUACCAGGGCCCAGCUUCUGAGUAUUCCUAGAGGCCAUUUCUACCCCUAGAAACUUUACAUGGAGCCAAAAGCCCAUUUGAAGCUCAGUCUGGGCCAGGAGAGGCUAAUCAUAAAAGGGAUAUUUUUUAAGUGUACAGAAAUAAGAAUUUAUUUUUGAAGACAUGAUUUAUAUUUUGAAUGGCUAAUGCACUCACAUGAUUCAAAAUUCAAAAUUCCAAAAGAACCGACAGUGCAAAGUCGCUCCUCCUUUGGUCCCCACCACCCAGUUUCCCUCUGCAGAGGGAACCUUGUUGCCAGUUCUUGUGUAUUCUUCCAGAGAUCUUCUAUGUAUAAACCGUCAUCCUCCUAGGAA
rnacentral:lncRNA from 1 species